CGGCGCUUCCAUGGCAGCGGUGGGCGUCAGGCCAUGAGCACUUCCGCUUACAACGCCCAUAAGGCGUCAGGGCCCGGCCGCACUUAGGCCGCACCGGGCGGUAGAGAGGAUCCAGGCCUGAGCUGGGUAGAAGAGGACAACAUGUGGCCGCCGCCGCUGCCAUGGCUCCUGGCGUGGCUGCUCCUGGCAGCCCGUUGCGGGCCUGCUGCGGCGGCGGCCUUUCCUUCCCGGAGUACCACUACUGAUUCCCAGCGCCCCACGGUGGUAGCUGGCGACGGAACCACACGAAACAGUAGCAGCCGCCUGGCCGAGGUGUCGGCGUCUCCCGAACAGGGCCAGCCCAUGACCCAGCGCGCCCUGUCCGUGUUGGUGCUGGCCAGCGCCUCCCUCAUCGUCUACUUCGUGAUCCGGACCGUGCGGCUCAGAAGGCAGAGCAGAAAAACCCGAAGAUACGGAGUUUUGGAUACAAACAUAGAAAACAUGGAGCUGACUCCAUUAGAGCAAGAUGAUGAUGACGAUGACGAUACAACACUGUUUGAUGCCAAUAUUCCUCGGAGGUCUUUUGCAUCUGCAUUGAAGCUUAGUAAUCAGUCUUCAUGUCACUGCUUAACCAAGAAUGACCCAGGGGAGUACAAAAUGCUUAAGCAAUCAAAGAGUUGCUGAGGACAACUUGAUGAUAAUGGUGCUCAGAUGUUCUCAGGAGAUGUCAUUAUACUUUGUCCUGACAUUUGCAGUAAUUCAGAGAGAAGUACGUGCCUUUCAGUCGAAGAACUUACCUUAGAACCAGAGAAGACUGCUUCGUGGGAAGAGUAAGAAGCAACAGGGUAUACAAGUUGAGGGGACUCAUUUAAUUGUGUAUAUUAUGGCAUAAUUUGUUGCAAUAAGUACUGUAUCAAUUUGUUGUACUUUUUUGUACAUAGAGGAUUCUAAAUGUAAAGCCUGUGGGGAGAAAGUGCACUAAAAUGAAAACCUAUUUGGAAGGCAGAUUACUUUUAAAACAUGGCAUUUUUUUGUUUGUUACAGAUCUUGUGCACCAUCAAUUUGGGAUAUAUUUUUUUCCUACAGUAAUUUGGAAUGCU